UUGCUUCAGCAGCACAUAUACUAACAUCGGAACAGUACAGAGAAGAUCAGCAAGAAUGAUACGCAAAUUCCUGAAGCACUCUAUAUUAAA
rnacentral:snRNA from 1 species